rnacentral:rRNA from 1 species
UACGGAGGGUGCAAGCGUUGUUCGGAAUCACUGGGCGUAAAGCGCGUGUAGGCGGUCUCGUAAGUCUGCUGUGAAAGCCCGGGGCUUACCCCCGGAAGUGCACUGGAAACUGCGAGACUUGAGUACCGGAGAGGAGGGUGGAAUUCCUGGUGUAGCGGUGAAAUGCGUAGAUAUCAGGAGGAACACCGGUGGCGAAGGCGGCCCUCUGGACGGAUACUGACGCUGAGACGCGAAAGCGUGGGGAGCAAACAGG